rnacentral:rRNA from 1 species
UACGUAGGGGGGCGAGCGUUUGUCCGGAUUUAUUGGGCGUAAAGAGCUCGUAGGUGGUUUGGUAAGUCGGAUGUGAAAUCUCCAGGCUCAACCUGGAGGGGUCAUUCGAUACUGCCAUGACUAGAGUUCGGUAGGGGAGUGUGGAAUUCCUGGUGGAGCGGUGAAAUGCGCAGAUAUCAGGAGGAACACCCGUAGCGAAGGCGGCACUCUGGGCCGAUACUGACACUGAGGAGCGAAAGCGUGGGGAGCGAACAGG